rnacentral:rRNA from 1 species
CCUACGGGGGGCUGCAGUGGGGAAUAUUGGACAAUGGGCGAAAGCCUGAUCCAGCCAUGCCGCGUGUGUGAAGAAGGCCUUCGGGUUGUAAAGCACUUUCAGUGGGGAAGAAAGCCUUGGGGCUAAUACCCUCGAGAAAGGACAUCACCCACAGAAGAAGCACCGGCUAACUCCGUGCCAGCAGCCGCGGUAAUACGGAGGGUGCGAGCGUUAAUCGGAAUUACUGGGCGUAAAGCGCGCGUAGGCGGUCUGAUAAGCCGGUUGUGAAAGCCCCGGGCUCAACCUGGGAACGGCAUCCGGAACUGUCAGGCUAGAGUGCAGGAGAGGAAGGUAGAAUUCCCGGUGUAGCGGUGAAAUGCGUAGAGAUCGGGAGGAAUACCAGUGGCGAAGGCGGCCUUCUGGACUGACACUGACGCUGAGGUGCGAAAGCGUGGGUAGCAAACAGGAUUAGAUACCCCAGUAGUC